rnacentral:rRNA from 1 species
GAUGAACGCUGGCGGCGUGCCUAAUACAUGCAAGUCGAGCGAACGGACGAGAAGCUUGCUUCUCUGAUGUUAGCGGCGGACGGGUGAGUAACACGUGGAUAACCUACCUAUAAGGCUGGGAUAACUUCGGGAAACCGGAGCUAAUACCGGAUAAUAUUUUGAACCGCAUGGUUCAAAAGUGAAAGACGGUCUUGCUGUCACUUAUAGAUGGAUCCGCGCUGCAUUAGCUAGUUGGUAAGGUAACGGCUUACCAAGGCAACGAUGCAUAGCCGACCUGAGAGGGUGAUCGGCCACACUGGAACUGAGACACGGUCCAGACUCCUACGGGAGGCAGCAGUAGGGAAUCUUCCGCAAUGGGCGAAAGCCUGACGGAGCAACGCCGCGUGAGUGAUGAAGGUCUUCGGAUCGUAAAACUCUGUUAUUAGGGAAGAGCAUAUGUGUAAGUAACUGUGCACAUCUUGACGGUACCUAAUCAGAAAGCCACGGCUAACUACGUG